CUACCUGCAGUCGAGCGGCAGCACGGGUACUUGUACCUGGUGGCGAGCGGCGGACGGGUGAGUAAUGCCUAGGAAUCUGCCUGGUAGUGGGGGAUAACGCUCGGAAACGGACGCUAAUACCGCAUACGUCCUACGGGAGAAAGCAGGGGACCUUCGGGCCUUGCGCUAUCAGAUGAGCCUAGGUCGGAUUAGCUAGUUGGUGAGGUAAUGGCUCACCAAGGCGACGAUCCGUAACUGGUCUGAGAGGAUGAUCAGUCACACUGGAACUGAGACACGGUCCAGACUCCUACGGGAGGCAGCAGUGGGGAAUAUUGGACAAUGGGCGAAAGCCUGAUCCAGCCAUGCCGCGUGUGUGAAGAAGGUCUUCGGAUUGUAAAGCACUUUAAGUUGGGAGGAAGGGCAGUUACCUAAUACGUGAUUGUUUUGACGUUACCGACAGAAUAAGCACCGGCUAACUCUGUGCCAGCAGCCGCGGUAAUACAGAGGGUGCAAGCGUUAAUCGGAAUUACUGGGCGUAAAGCGCGCGUAGGUGGUUUGUUAAGUUGAAUGUGAAAUCCCCGGGCUCAACCUGGGAACUGCAUCCAAAACUGGCAAGCUAGAGUAUGGUAGAGGGUGGUGGAAUUUCCUGUGUAGCGGUGAAAUGCGUAGAUAUAGGAAGGAACACCAGUGGCGAAGGCGACCACCUGGACUGAUACUGACACUGAGGUGCGAAAGCGUGGGGAGCAAGCAGGAUUAGAUACCCUGGUAGUCCACGCCGUAAACGAUGUCAACUAGCCGUUGGGAGCCUUGAGCUCUUAGUGGCGCAGCUAACGCAUUAAGUUGACCGCCUGGGGAGUACGGCCCCCAAGGUU
rnacentral:rRNA from 1 species